AAACUCCCUUCUUCUGCUUCAUUCCACCCCACUGGAAAGGCAACCUCAACUUCAGCACAGACAUCUCCAGAAAGAGGGAUGUCCCCUGGACCUGAGUGCAGAAAGUUGGCUAGUGUGCCGGGGACCUCUACAGGUCCUGCCAGUGGCAAUGGCUACAGACCCUCAUAUGGCACCCAGGCAGGGGGUAGAUGGCCAGGAAAAGAAGCAAGGUAGGUCUGCAAGACAGUUCCCAGAGGCUUCUGUGGGCCUGGACCCCAGAAGCAAUGGAGUGAGAAGCCAGGCUAGCAAAGUUGUGAGGCCAUCCAGGUUUGUCUUCGGGCCUUCCCAUUUCACAUUUCUCCUCUCUGCUUUUAACCUCACAAGGCCUACCCCUUAGCCCAUAACAAUUAGGACCCAAGAAUCUCACAUUCCACCAACCCAAGUUUUGCUUCUCUCUGAUAGCAAUUUUUCCCUACAAUGUCCCUUUCCAUUUUCUUCUAUCCCCUCAAAACAAGACUCAUUUUGGGUCUCGUGGGUCCCUUUGCAAAAGUCACAUCUAAGUUUCUGAUAAACAUAGUCUUGCUGAGGGAUGAAUGGCAGGUCAUAGAUUGAUAUGGUGCUUUUCUCAAGGCUAUCUGUGUUUUAAACAAGGAACUCAGUAAUGCUUCAUCCAAAACAG
rnacentral:lncRNA from 1 species